AAAAGCCUUAAUUUUCCCAUGAACCCUAAUCUUCCAUAAUUCAAUUUAUGAAAUUCUCAUGCAAAUAUACUACCCCAAUCAUGCAUACUGCUUCAACUAAACUUGAUUUCAUCAUCAAUUAUAUUAAGAUACAUCAAACCCUAAUUUUUCCCAAAUUGGCCAAAACCCUAGAUUACCCAAGCUAGCUAAAAAUCCCUUUCAAGAUUCAUGUAUGUUUUUCAUGCUUUCUCAUGUAAAUUCAUCACAUCCAAACUUGAUUCAAAGCAUACUUAGUUAAUCAAGCAUGAAAGAGAGUGCUUACCUCACUUGAUGAUUUUUUCCACUUCAAAUCUCUUCCAAUUUCUUGUUCUUCUUGUUUAAAUCUCUCAAUCAAAGUUUGUUUUGAUGUUUCCUACUAAAUAGAUGAAGGACCCAUGGAAGGAAA
rnacentral:misc_RNA from 1 species